rnacentral:rRNA from 1 species
GAUGAACGCUAGCGGCAGGCCUAAUACAUGCAAGACUAGGGGGCAGCAAUGUCACCGUCGCACGGGUGCGUAACGCGUAUGCAACCUACCUAUCACAGGGGGAUAGCCUUUGGAAACAGGGAUUAAUACCGCAUAAAGCAGGGGCUCCGCAUGGAGAUAUUGCUAAAGAUUUAUCGGUGAUAGAUGGGCAUGCGUCUGAUUAGUUAGAUGGUGGGGUAACGGCCUACCAUGGCGAUGAUCAGUAGGGGGCGUCAGAGCGUGGUCCCCCACACUGGCACUGAGAUACGGGCCAGACUCCUACGGGAGGCAGCAGUAGGGAAUAUUGGGCAAUGGAUGCAAGUCUGACCCAGCCAUGCCGCGUGGAGGAAGAAGGUCCUCUGGAUUGUAAACUCCUUUUUUGGGGGAAGAAGAGACACCUUGCGAGGUGUUGUGACGGUACCCUAAGAAUAAGCCACGGCUAACUACGUG